rnacentral:rRNA from 1 species
AUUGAACGCUGGCGGCGUGCCUAACACAUGCAAGUCGAGCGGCAGCGCGGGAGCAAUCCUGGCGGCGAGCGGCGGACGGGUGAGUAAUGCUUGGGAAUCUGCCUGUUAGUGGGGGACAACCCGGGGAAACUCGGCUAAUACCGCAUACGCACUACGGUGGAAAGCCGGGGACCGCAAGGCCUGGCGCUAACAGAUGAGCCCAAGUCGGAUUAGCUAGUUGGUAGGGUAACGGCCACCAAGGCGACGAUCCGUAACUGGUCUGAGAGGACGACCAGUCACACCGGAACUGAGACACGGUCCGGACUCCUACGGGAGGCAGCAGUGGGGAAUAUUGGACAAUGGGGGAACCCUGAUCCAGCGACGCCGCGUGGGUGAAGAAGGCCUGCGGGUUGUAAA